rnacentral:lncRNA from 1 species
GGGGACACAAAAAGUUAACCAGAGAUUAGAACCAGGGUUAAAUAUUUGUGGUGGGUUAAGAAGGACAACCACAAAACCCAGAUUUUUAUUAUCUACAGUCAUCAUCCUCAUCCUCCUCCCAUUCCCAAAACCAAAAACCAAAAACCAACAACAAACCCUCUCCUCCUCCUUCCCUUUCUCACAUCAUCAUCUCUCUAAUUAGCUGAUCUGUUCCUCUUUGCUUCCUCUUUCCCUUUACUCACUCCUUUUUGAUGGAUAAAUAUAUCACUUUUUUGCUCAAAACUCUAACCCCAAAUCUAAUCAGGUCUUAAGUAAACGCUCUUAUUAACCUCCACCCCAC